AGCUUUGUGUAGUGGCAGUAUCAUAGCCAAUUAGGUUUCUCCAAGGUGGAGUUAUUGCUAGUUGAAAGCCUUUCAAUACCCUGUUGUGAGGACUUACAACAUGGUCAAUUUUUGACAGUCUCUAUAGAGA
rnacentral:snRNA from 1 species